GCUUGUUUGCCAACCUGUCAAAAACUGUGUCAAGGAAAUCUGAAAAUCCGCAAUUGCUCCUGAAUUUUUUAAAAUCCGUCCCCCAAGUAUCGCCUUCAUAAAUGUUUAAUGCUUGAUUUUAAAUAUUGACCGAAGCGCACUUUCUCAGCAUGAUUGACCGAAUGCAUAAGUUAUUCGAAUUGACGUUCCUGGUGUCCUGUCGUGGUUAACCGCAACAUUAAUGAUUCUCCCAAAGCAAUGUUGAGAGCGGUGGUGAGAGACAGAUUGAAAUAUUUAUGUACUGUCGACAAUGCAACAGUCACAGGAUGUCUUUUCGUAUCACGCCACGAUGCAGAGAGAGAACUAAAUAAAUGGACAUGCCAUCGUGAAAAGUUCUUUACAGUCCGCAAGAUGAAAAGGAUACCAAACCGACAUAUAGCGAAGAGAGUUUGUAGGGGUAUAUUUGGUUGACAAACAUUAUCAGCUGACAGCAGAGAAAUAUGGAAAGUACAAAGCAAACAGUGUGGGAAACUAUUUCUCCUUUUGCACAAACACAGUGGACUGGAUUCUGCUUUAAUGGAGCAAGAAAGUGUUUUCCACUCGCAAAGGAGAGUCUAAAAUAUUUGCAUAUUAAUUUUCUGAGCUUUUCGCUGAAGUAAUCAUUAUCCAUUGAACUACGCAAAGGGAACCAUGGAAGGUGGCUCGAUUGAGAGAGAUUUUCUUUGCGAUGCAGUUUAUUAAAAAUUCUUGGUCUAGGCG